GACGUAGGGCGCGAGCGUUGUCCGGAUUUAUUGGGCGUAAAGAGCUCGUAGGCGGCUUGUCGCGUCGUUCGUGAAAACCUGCAGCUCAACUGCAGGCUUGCGGUCGAUACGGGCAGGCUGGAGUUCGGUAGGGGAGACUGGAAUUCUCGGUGUAGCGGUGAAAUGCGUAGAUAUCGAGAGGAACACCUGCGGCGAAGGCGGGUUGCUGGGCUGACACUGACGCUGAGGCGCGAAAGCUAGGGGAGCGAACGGG
rnacentral:rRNA from 1 species